AAACCAGCACCUCAAGUGGUCAGGAGGAUUAUUGGGCCUAAAGCAUCCGUAGCCUGUUCUGUAAGUUUUCGGCUAAAUCCAUUAGCUCAACUAAUGGGCCGCCGAAAAUACUGUAGAACUAGGGAGUGGGAGAGGUAGACGGUAUUCGGUAGGAAGGGGUAAAAUCCUUUGAUCUAUUGAGGACCACCUGUGGCGAAGGCGGUCUACCAGAACACGUUUGACGGUGAGGGAUGAAAGCUGGGGGAGCAAACCGGAUUAGAUACCCGGGUAGUCC
rnacentral:rRNA from 1 species